rnacentral:rRNA from 1 species
GUAGGUGGCAAGCGUUGUCCGGAAUUAUUGGGCGUAAAGCGCGCGCAGGCGGUUCUUUAAGUCUGAUGUGAAAGCCCACGGCUCAACCGUGGAGGGUCAUUGGAAACUGGAGAACUUGAGUACAGAAGAGGAAAGCGGAAUUCCACGUGUAGCGGUGAAAUGCGUAGAGAUGUGGAGGAACACCAGUGGCGAAGGCGGCUUUCAGGUCUGUAACUGACGCUGAGGCGCGAAAGCGUGGGGAGCAAACAGGAUUAGAUACCCUGGUAGUCCACGCCGUAAACGAUGAGUGCUAAGUGUUAGGGGGUUUCCGCCCCCCUUAGUGCUGCAGCUAACGCAUUAAGCACUCCGCCUGGGAGUACGGCCGCAAGGCUG